AUGUGUCCACCUCGCCUCCCCUCCCUCAUCAGAUCCCACAGCCAACAAGAAAAAAAAGAAACUAAGCUGAGCUCGCCGCACCGCAGUACAGGCAGUCUCGUCUCUUCUCUCCGCUCCUCCCCUCCCUCGGCGGCGGCGGCGGCGGCGAUGGGGACGAAGGAGCCCGGCUCCCCGAGCCCCGACGACGCGGUGCUCUUCUUCGGGGUGGCCCUCGUGCUGGGCAUCGCCUCCCGCCACCUCCUCCGCGGCACCCGCGUCCCCUACACCGUCGCCCUCCUCGUCCUCGGCGUCGCCCUCGGCGGCCUCGAGUACGGGACCAAGCAUGGCCUCGGCAAGCUCGGAGCCGGCAUCCGUAUCUGGGCUGCCAUAAAUCCUGAUCUCCUUCUUGCCGUCUUCCUCCCCGCCCUCCUCUUCGAGAGCUCCUUCUCCAUGGAAGUGCACCAGAUCAAGAAAUGCAUGGCGCAGAUGGUGUUACUUGCCGUCCCAGGCGUGGUGAUCUCAACAGUUUUGCUUGGCGCUGCUGUAAAGCUCACUUUUCCAUAUGACUGGAACUGGAAAACAUCAUUCUUGUUCAGUGGACUGCUUAGUGCAACCGACCCUGUUGCCGUGGUUGCUCUUCUAAAAGACCUAGGAGCAAGCAAAAAGCUCAGUACAAUAAUUGAAGGAGAGUCCUUGAUGAAUGACGGGACUGCUAUUGUUGUCUAUCAGCUAUUCUAUCGAAUGGUGCUUGGAAAAACUUUCGAUGCAGGGUCCAUCAUAAAGUUCUUGUCACAAGUUUCACUUGGAGCUGUUGCUCUGGGCCUUGCGUUUGGAAUUGCAUCAGUACUAUGGCUGGGCUUUAUUUUCAAUGAUACAAUCAUAGAGAUUUCACUUACCGUUGCUGUCAGCUAUAUUGCUUUCUUCACUGCGCAAGAUGCAUUGGAGGUCUCUGGUGUUUUAGCCGUCAUGACCUUGGGGAUGUUCUAUGCUGCUUUUGCAAAAACUGCUUUUAAGGGUGACAGCCAGCAAAGUUUACAUCAUUUCUGGGAAAUGGUUGCUUACAUUGCAAACACACUUAUUUUCAUACUGAGUGGGGUUGUUAUUGCAGAUGGCGUACUACAAGAUAAUAUUCAUUUUGAGAGGCAUGGCACAUCAUGGGGGUUCCUUCUUCUGCUCUAUGUUUUUGUGCAAAUAUCGCGUGCUGUAGUUGUCGGUGUUUUGUAUCCACUGUUGCGUCACUUUGGGUAUGGUAUGGACAUCAAAGAAGCCACAGUUCUUGUUUGGUCAGGAUUGCGUGGAGCUGUUGCUCUAUCACUUUCUCUGUCCGUUAAACGUGCUAGUGAUUCAGUUCAAACUUAUCUGAAACCAGAAGUUGGAACAAUGUUUGUGUUCUUCACAGGUGGCAUCGUGUUUCUGACUUUGAUUUUGAAUGGUUCCACCACACAAUUUUUGUUGCACCUACUUGGUCUGGGAAAAUUGUCAGCAACGAAGCUUCGUGUAUUGAAGUAUACACAAUAUGAAAUGCUAAACAAGGCAUUGGAGGCUUUUGGUGAUCUCAGGGAUGAUGAGGAACUUGGGCCUGUUGAUUGGGUUAAUGUGAAGAAAUAUAUCACAUGUUUGAAUAACUUGGAAGAUGAACAAGCACAUCCCCACGAUGUUCCUGACAAGGAUGAUCACGUACAUACCAUGAAUUUGAAGGAUACUCGAGUGCGGCUUUUGAAUGGUGUGCAAGCUGCUUACUGGGGAAUGCUUGAAGAGGGACGAAUAACUCAAUCUACAGCAAAUAUUUUAAUGAGAUCAGUUGAUGAAGCUAUGGAUCUUGUCUCUAGCCAGUCAUUAUGUGAUUGGAAGGGUUUGCGGUCCAAUGUUCAUUUCCCAAAUUACUAUAGGUUCCUUCAGAUGAGCAGGUUGCCACGAAGGCUUGUCACAUACUUCACAGUAGAAAGAUUGGAGUUAGGAUGUUACAUCUGCGCGGCAUUUCUCCGUGCUCACAGAAUUGCGAGGAGACAACUACAUGAUUUCCUUGGUGAUAGUGAGAUUGCAAGAAUUGUCAUCGAUGAAAGUAUUGCUGCUGGGGAGGAAGCUAAAAAGUUUCUGGAAGAUGUUCGUGUUACAUUCCCUCAGGUGCUUCGUGUAUUGAAGACUCGACAAGUAACAUAUGCGGUAUUGACACACUUGAGUGAGUAUAUUCAAGACCUUGGGAAGACUGGGUUGCUCGAGGAAAAGGAAAUAGUCCAUCUCGAUGAUGCUUUGCAGACAGACUUGAAGAAGCUUAAGAGGAAUCCGCCACUGGUGAAAAUGCCAAGAGUUCGCGAACUUCUAAAUACCCAUCCUUUAGUUGGUGCACUGCCUGCUGCUCUUCGUGAUCCAUUGUUAAGUAACACAAAGGAAACAAUAAAAGGGCAUGGAACAGUUCUUUACACAGAAGGCUCAAGACCGACUGGCGUAUGGCUUGUUUCGAGUGGAAUAGUAAAGUGGACAAGUCAGAGACUAUGCACGAGGCAUUCAUUGGAUCCAAUUUUGUCACAUGGAAGCACUUUGGGUCUAUAUGAGGCACUAAUUGGAAAGCCUUAUAUUUGUGACAUUAUUACAGAAUCGGUGGUGCAUUGUUUCUUCAUUGAGGCUGAAAAAAUAGAGCAAUUGCGCCAGUCUGAUCCUUCUAUUGAGGAUUUUAUGUGGCAGGAGAGUGCUCUAGUUAUUGCAAGGAUUUUGCUCCCUCAGAUAUUUGAGAAAAUGGCAAUGCGUGAGAUGAGGGUUCUCAUUUCAGAAAGAUCUACUACGAAUGUCUACAUUAAGGGGGAAGAAAUUGAACUCAGGCAUAAUUACAUAGGCAUCUUAUUGGAGGGAUUUCUGAAGACAGAGAACCGAACUUUGAUCACACCUCCAGCUGUGCUGCUGCCGUCAAACACUGAUUUGAACUUAUUUGGCCUGCAGUCUUCAGCCAUGAAUCAGAUAGACUACUGUUAUACUGCUCCCAGUUAUCAGGUGGAGGCUAGAGCAAGGGUCAUCUUAUUUGAAAUGAGGAGGCCAGAUAUAGAAUCCGAUCUGCAAAGAAGUGCAUCGUUGCUUUCUCCAGCACUCGGACCGUCACGAACACAGAGCAAAGAGCAUGUCGGUUUGCUCAGGUGGCCGGAGAGUUUCCGGAAAUCCAGAGGGCCUGGAAAUGCAAGCUUAGCUGAAAUCAGAAGCCAGUCUGGUAGCUUCUCUGCUAGAGCCUUGCAAGUCAGCAUGUAUGGCAGCAUGAUGGAUGGCAUGCGCCCUGCUCGGCGGCAACCGAGGCUUGAUCAUGUGGAAGCGAACCAGAAGCACAGCGCGUCGUAUCCAAAGGUGCCUUCAAGGGCAGCCGACACGCGGCCUCUGCUGUCGGUGAGGUCGGAGGGCUCCAAUGCGAUGAGCAGAAAAUCUGCUCCUGCUCCAGCUAUAGCUCCUCCACUCGCUUCCUUUCUGCCACCCCUAGCAGCAGGACGGCAACGCCGAGCGGUAGGAGAAGAUGACGACUCGAGCGAUGAGUCCGUGGGGGAAGAAGUUAUCGUCAGAGUGGACUCUCCCAGCAUGCUCUCGUUCAAUCCACCCUCCGGCCCACCGCGAGGCAGCUGA
rnacentral:rRNA from 1 species